CUGGCCAUAAACAACCUAAUGGUUGCUAUAAACAAUAUCAGCAACGGUGGCGCAAACUAUUUAAACAUCAGCUAGUUUGGUUAGUUUAAUAUUUACCACCGUCAGCGAAGGCUAGCCCAAUGAAGAUAUUAUGAGUCGAAUGAACCACAACAAGCCAAACUGGAAUGACAGCCACAGUUCCAAGAAGGGACACAAAUUAAAGCCCAACGCAUGGGAUUCAGGUGGGUAAUUUUCGGCACAAUAAUGCAGAGCUAAUCUUAUCUAGCCUGGUCGAAACGAGGAAAAUUUCUGGAACAUUUCAUCAACUGCUUGGGAAAUCACUCUGACAAGGAACCUCCAUUUUAACAGCUCGAAAACUCAAAUAGCAAAUGGAAUUAUGUUGCCUUGCUACUUGUCGGAAUUAUUGGAACUGUUUUUGACUUCUUCAUCAGAAACAAGAAAGCUAGGAAACAAAUCCUGCAACUUUGUUCCAUUCUGGUGACGAUUGGAAACUUGUUAAUGGCCUGCUUUAAAAACACCGGUCGUGCUAAUUUGUACAGAGGACGUAACCGAAAACACAACAAUAAUAAAUAAAUUGCUAAGCAAAUAAAAUCUAGAAAUUUA